AAAAAAAAAAAAAAAAUCACUGGCCUCAUUUUAUAAGGAAGACAUUGAGUCCCAGGGUGAGGGGUUAUAGAUAGGACUUUCUCAAGAUUGCACAGGUAUAUCCCGUGCCUUACCUGACUGGGGGCUCUGAGUCCAGUUGUGUUGUCUUCAACUUAGACACCAUGGAGGCACCUCCAGUCACCAUGAUGCCUGUCACUGGGGGCACCAUUAAUAUGAUGGAGUACCUGUUGCAGGGAAGUGUUUUAGAUCACAGUUUGGAAAGCCUCAUCCACCGCCUUCGUGGUUUGUGUGACAACAUGGAACCUGAGACUUUCCUUGACCAUGAGAUGGUAUUCCUCCUUAAGGGCCAGCAAGCCAGCCCAUUUGUUCUCAGGGCCCGACGCUCUAUGGACAGGGCAGGGGC
rnacentral:sRNA from 1 species